rnacentral:rRNA from 1 species
UGGUGAAUAUUGGACAAUGGGCGAAAGCCUGAUCCAGCCAUGCCGCGUGUGUGAAGAAGGUCUUCGGAUUGUAAAGCACUUUAAGUUGGGAGGAAGGGCAUUAACCUAAUACGUUAGUGUUUUGACGUUACCGACAGAAUAAGCACCGGCUAACUCUGUGCCAGCAGCCGCGGUAAUACAGAGGGUGCAAGCGUUAAUCGGAAUUACUGGGCGUAAAGCGCGCGUAGGUGGUUUGUUAAGUUGGAUGUGAAAUCCCCGGGCUCAACCUGGGAACUGCAUUCAAAACUGACUGACUAGAGUAUGGUAGAGGGUGGUGGAAUUUCCUGUGUAGCGGUGAAAUGCGUAGAUAUAGGAAGGAACACCAGUGGCGAAGGCGACCACCUGGACUAAUACUGACACUGAGGUGCGAAAGCGUGGGGAGCAAACA